rnacentral:rRNA from 1 species
UACGUAGGCAGCGAGCGUUGUUCGGAGUUACUGGGCGUAAAGGGUGUGUAGGCGGUUGUUUAAGUUUGGUGUGAAAUCUCCCGGCUUAACUGGGAGGGUGCGCCGAAUACUGAAUGACUUCGAGUGCGGGAGAGGAGAGUGGAAUUCCUGGUGUAGCGGUGAAAUGCGUAGAUAUCAGGAGGAACACCGGUGGUGUAGACGGCUCUCUGGACCGUAACUGACGCUGAGACACGAAAGCGUGGGUAGCAAACAGG